rnacentral:tRNA from 1 species
GGCCCGUUGGUCAAGUGGUUAAGACAUCGCCCUCUCACGGCGAAAACACGAGUUCGAAUCUCGUACGGGUCACCA